rnacentral:rRNA from 1 species
UACAGAGGGUGCGAGCGUUGUCCGGAAUCACUGGGCGUAAAGGGCGCGUAGGUGGCGACCCAAGUCGAUGGUGAAAGCUCGCCGCUCAACGGCGAGUCGGCCACCGAUACUGGGUUGCUGGAGCACUGUAGAGGCAGAUGGAAUUCCGGGUGUAGCGGUGGAAUGCGUGAGAGAGUCCGGAAGAACACCGGUGGCGAAGGCGGUCUGCUGGGGCAGUUGCUGACGCUGAGGAGCGAAAGCGUGGGGAGCGAACAGG